CUUGGGCGGCGUGCUUAACACAUGCAAGUCGAGCGGUAAGGCCCUUCGGGGUACACGAGCGGCCAACGGGUGAGUAACACGUGGGUGAUCUGCCCUGCACUUCGGGAUAAGCCCGGGAAACUGGGUCUAAUACCGGAUACGACCUUCGGCUGCAUGGCUGGGGGUGGAAAGGU
rnacentral:rRNA from 1 species